AUGGGAACGCGAAGAACCUUACCUAGACUUGACAUCUCCUGAAUAGUGUAGAGAUACAUGAAGCCCUUCGGGCGAGGAAGACAGGUGGUGCAUGGUUGUCGUCAGCUCGUGUCGUGAGAUGCUGGGUUAAGUCCCGCAACGAGCGCAACCCUUAUUACUAGUUGCUACCAUUAAGUUGAGCACUCUAGUGAGACUGCCCGGGUUAACCGGGAGGAAGGCGGGGAUGACGUCAAAUCAUCAUGCCCCUUAUGUCUAGGGCAACACACGUGCUACAAUGGUGAGUACAGAUAGAUGCGAUACCGCAAGGUGGAGCCAAACUCUAAAACUCAUCCCAGUUCGGAUUGUAGGCUGCAACUCGCCUACAUGAAGUUGGAGUUGCUAGUAAUCGCGAAUCAGAAUGUCGCGGUGAAUACGUUCCCGGGUCUUGUACACACCG
rnacentral:rRNA from 1 species